UGUAAAAUUUUGAUUUUUUUUCAGUAAUUGGAAUUUUGAAAAGAAUAAUCCUGCCUGUUGUACUCUUCUCUCCCUCCUGAUGUGAUACAUUGUCAUCUCAGUCACAAGCAAGAGAGGAAUUAAUCUGGAUUUCUGCACCCUGCCUAUUGUAUUUCCAAUUCUUGAUAUAUGUUCACAACUGGAUCAGAUGUUGUAGAAGAAGAGAAGUUUUCUUCAUUGAGACAUAUGCCCAAGUGAAUCUAUUAUCAUCUAUUACAUGGCUGUAGCCUGGCUUUACAGAGGACAAAAUAUUGUACGAAUAGAGCUAAACUGGUCAGGCUGUGAUCCCUGGCAUUGUGAUUAUAUUACUUCAGUUUCUUCCUUAUCAUACAACUCUGACCCCAUAAUAAGGUGGAGAGUAUAUCACCAGAUUAUAUGCACACAGGAAAGCAGAAAGAAAUCUCUGGAUUUCUUUUUCAUACACACCUUUUGUUCAUAUACAUACUGUGAUAUGUCUCAUAAUAAGUGGCAAAGAGUAUGAAGCAAACUAAUUAUUUCUCAUUAACCUUAGUAGGAAGACAGUGCAAUUACACAUGUAUUUGUUAGUAAGAGAAACUCUUGUCCUAUUGAGAAUCAUAAUGUGUGAAUCAUUUAAGCAGUCCAGUUUGAGAAAAUUAUUUAUACUGUAGGAGUUUAGUUGUUUUUUAUUUCCACAGUUACUUGAACAAUUUAGUACUAUAUAGUGUAAUAACAUAUGCCAAAUUAAAUGGCAUGUAUUUGCUCUUAUCAGUGCACCCUCUCUACUUAAUUUAUUGGAUGAUUUCCCAUGUUAACUAAUGUUUACAUAAAUAGCAAUUAUUUUUUCUAGUAACAUAUACUUAAGGAUUCUUCAUAAGAGUAUAUUCAAUCUGGAUUUAUAUUAUGCAUAACACAAAUUAUUUAUUUAUGUUGGUAUCCCUGGCAACACAGCACAGUGUCUGGCAUACAGACCUGGGCUGAAUCAUGCUUGAGUUCUGAGUCAAAAACCAACGAAUAGGAGCUUUUGCAAACUUGUUGAGUAGCUUCUGUUUUCUGUUCAAUCCUGGGGUCUUCAUCACAUCAUAAACAAGUGUGGAGAGAUGCUUCAAAGUUAGCACAGCAUAUUUUUGGUUAUUUUAUACCAACAUUUCCACUUGGUGCAUCUCGUUAGUAUAUCUACCAUGGCCUCAUAAUAAAUUUGAUGGUGAUGAGAAGAUGAAGAUCUUGUUUUAGUUUAUAAAUAAAGUAGUCAAUCACAUUAGUUCCUUAUCUGCAUUAAAGAUUACCUUUUUGCAAAAAUUUUGUUUAGGGACUCAGCAUUAAUAUUUAUAAACUAAUAAAUGACAAAAUAAAUCAAGAAAAUAUUUCCUUUCAUAAUUUCGGCCAUCCCCAUGAUUGCUGUUCAUGUUUGAAGGAGCAAGGGCUGUGAUGUUCUUUAUAAUUAGAAUGCAUUAUAGCCUUCCUCUUUUUCCUCUGUCCAUCUGCAUUUCUCAUUAUCUGUGCUGCUUGUAUAUUGCCUGCACUGGAAGUGUUGUAUAUACAAAUUCCCUAAUGAAACACUAUGGCUAUGAAUCUAUGACAACCAUAUUUUGUAGCCACAUUCCUCUUCUUCCAGUGCAAUUAAAAAUCAUAUGUGAUUUUAGAGCUUCAAGUGAUAUUAGUGAUAUCAGUAUAACCUUUUUCCUAAUGAGGUCACUGGAGCCCAGAUAGACAUCAUUAACCAAAGACCCACGGUGAUGAUUUUAAAAUAAAGGACAAUUUGAAUGUGAACUUCUCAUGUACAAAUGGUCAUUCAUUACUAUUCAGAAGCAGGAACAUCCAAACAACUAUUGUUUGUUACACUUUGAGGCACCUAACAAGGUAGAUUUUAGAUAGAUUUUUUGAUGUGCCUUAUCCUAGAUUGAUUUUUGCCAUUGUUCUGUAGUGAAUACAUAUAAAGGAAUUCAAAGACUGAUAUAGGUUUUUGAGGAUGGUUUUAGCUGGAACCCAGAGCUUGCAUAUACUUCUGUUUUCCUAUGUUCUGAACUCCAAAAUUCACAAGGAAAACAUCUAGUACAAAAUAUAGGAAAAAACAUAAUUUUGAUAUAUCUUUUAAAAAUAAUUUUUAGUUUCUAACAACAAGCAAUUAAAAAUUGAAUCAAAUUUAAGGAUGCUAGGGAAUUUGGUAUUGAAGGGAAUUCUUGUGUGAAGAAUUGUUUCAUAAGCACAUAAUAAAAACUGGUUAUAAGUGUGGCAGUAUGUAUAAACGUGGCUGUAUAACCAAUGUGAUCCUGCAAUCUGUACACGUGGGAAUAAUAAGAAUUCAUACCCCAUUUGAAUCAAAUGUAUGAUAUAUGAUAUGUCAAGAUCAAUGUAAUGUUUUGAGCAACUACAAAAUUUCUUAUGUUUAAAAAAAUAAAUAAAAACUAGUUAUAAAUCCAAA